GGUAAAACUGUGCAUUUAUGAAAAUGGCCACCAACAGCUCAAGCUUCACAGAUCUUAGAAUAAAGACUGUUUUCUUAAUAAUUCAUACCUUGAGUUAUGUAGCUAUUCUGCCUCCUAACCUUAAGGAUAACCAGACACGACUUGGAUCCUCUUCCAUAUCAGGGAAACAUCAGGUUCCAGAAAUGCUCAUUUAAUGGAGAAGUUUUAAAAUCAUGUUCAGAAAUCUCAGGAACAUUUUAAAGCAACUUAUGCUUACCCUGCCUUUUACCUUCCAGAAGGAUUUCCAUGUUUUUAUUCUGGAUUUCAAGGGAAUCCAGCUGCUUAAUCUCUUCCCACCUCUUGGGAAGAUUUC